UACGGGGGGGGCAAGCGUUGUUCGGAAUUAUUGGGCGUAAAGGGCUCGUAGGCGGCUAACUAAGUCAGAUGUGAAAUCCCUCGGCUUAACCGGGGAACUGCGUCUGAUACUGGAUGGCUGGAGGUUGGGAGAGGGAUGCGGAAUUCCAGGUGUAGCGGUGAAAUGCGUAGAUAUCUGGAGGAACACCGGUGGCGAAGGCGGCAACCUGGGCCAAUUCUGACGCUGAGGAGCGAAAGCGAGGGGAGCAAACGGG
rnacentral:rRNA from 1 species